AUCAUUACUGAGAGAGGGGCCGCGCGCUCCCGGGGGUUUCGGCCCCCAACUCUUCACCCCGUGUGUACCGACCUCAGUUGCUUCGGCGGGCCCCGGGGGGCCCCCCGCGCCGGCCUGUGGGCCGGUGAGCGCCCGCCGGAGGCCCAUCUACAUCCGGUUUAUCAGUGUCGUCCGAGGAACCAUACACAAUAUAUCAAAACUUUCAACAACGGAUCUCUUGGUUCCAGCAUCGAUGAAGAACGCAGCGAAAUGCGAUAAGUAAUGUGAAUUGCAGAAUUCAGUGAAUCAUCGAAUCUUUGAACGCACAUUGCGCCCCUCGGUAUUCCGGGGGGCAUGCCUGUUCGAGCGUCAUUGCCCCCCUCAAGCGCGGCUUGGUCUUGGGCCCUCGCCCCCGCGGCGUGCCCGAAAAGCAGUGGCGGUCCGGCGUGACUUCAAGCGUAGUAAACUUCUCCCGCUGUGAAAGCUCGCGUCCGGCCGGCCAGCAACCCCAUAUUUUCAAUGAUUGAC
rnacentral:rRNA from 1 species